AGUGAACGCUGGCGGUAGGCCUAACACAUGCAAGUCGAACGGCAGCACAGUAAGAGCUUGCUCUUACGGGUGGCGAGUGGCGGACGGGUGAGGAAUACAUCGGAAUCUACUUUUUCGUGGGGGAUAACGUAGGGAAACUUACGCUAAUACCGCAUACGACCUACGGGUGAAAGCAGGGGAUCUUCUGACCUUGCGCGAUUGAAUGAGCCGAUGUCGGAUUAGCUAGUUGGCGGGUUAAAGGCCCACCAAGGCGACGAUCCGUAGCUGGUCUGAGAGGAUGAUCAGACACACUGGAAGUGAGACACGGUCCAGACUCCUACGGGAGGCAGCAGUGGGGAAUAUUGGACAAUGGGCGCAAGCCUGAUACAGCCAUACCGCGUGGGUGAAGAAGGCCUUCGGGUUGUAAAGCCCUUUUGUUGGGAGAGAAAAGCAGCAGGUUAAUACCCCGCUGUUCUGACGGUACCCAAAGAAUAAGCACCGGCUAACUUCGUG
rnacentral:rRNA from 1 species